UGGGGAAUAUUGGACAAUGGGGGCAACCCUGAUCCAGCGAUGCCGCGUGUGUGAAGAAGGUCUUCGGAUUGUAAAGCACUUUAAGUUGGGAGGAAGGGCAGUUACCUAAUACGUAUCUGUUUUGACGUUACCGACAGAAUAAGCACCGGCUAACUCUGUGCCAGCAGCCGCGGUAAUACAGAGGGUGCAAGCGUUAAUCGGAAUUACUGGGCGUAAAGCGCGCGUAGGUGGUUUGUUAAGUUGGAUGUGAAAGCCCCGGGCUCAACCUGGGAACUGCAUCCAAAACUGGCAAGCUAGAGUACGGUAGAGGGUGGUGGAAUUUCCUGUGUAGCGGUGAAAUGCGUAGAUAUAGGAAGGAACACCAGUGGCGAAGGCGACCACCUGGACUGAUACUGACACUGAGGUGCGAAAGCGUGGGGAGCAAACAGGAUUAGAUACCCGAGUAGUCCCUGAGCGGGCUGGCAAGGCGCAU
rnacentral:rRNA from 1 species